rnacentral:rRNA from 1 species
UACGUAGGUGGCAAGCGUUGUUCGGAAUUAUUGGGCGUAAAGGGCGCGUAGGCGGUUUGUUAAGUCGGCUGUGAAAGCCCGGGGCUCAACCCCGGAGGGUCAGCCGAUACUGGCUCGCUAGAGUGCGGUAGAGGGUGGUGGAAUUCCCGGUGUAGCAGUGAAAUGCGUAGAGAUCGGGAGGAACAUCUGUGGCGAAGGCGGCCACCUGGACCAGCACUGACACUGAGGCACGAAAGCGUGGGGAGCAAACAGG